CACGCCGUAAACGAUGAAUGCUAGGUGUUGGGGGUCAAACCUCGGUGCCGAAGUUAACACAUUAAGCAUUCCGCCUGGGGAGUACGGUGGCAACACUGAAACUCGAAGGAAUUGACGGGGACCCGCACAAGCAGCGGAGCAUGUGGUUUAAUUCGAUGCAACGCGAAGAACCUUACCAGGGCUUGACAUAUAUGCGCUAGCACUAGAGAUAGUGGUUUCUCUUCGGAGACGUAUAUACAGGUGG
rnacentral:rRNA from 1 species